rnacentral:rRNA from 1 species
GGUUGCGAUCAUACCAGCACUAAUGCACCGGAUCCCAUCAGAACUCCGCAGUUAAGUUUCGGUUCUGAUGGUAUAAAGGAACAAGUGUGUUUUUGUGUCUUUUUGAAUUUCUAGAUGCUAGUC